rnacentral:rRNA from 1 species
CUAAUACCGGAUAAUAAAGCAGAUCGCAUGAUCAGCUUUUGAAAGGCGGCGUAAGCUGUCGCUAAGGGAUGGCCCCGCGGUGCAUUAGCUAGUUGGUAAGGUAACGGCUUACCAAGGCGACGAUGCAUAGCCGAGUUGAGAGACUGAUCGGCCACAUUGGGACUGAGACACGGCCCAAACUCCUACGGGAGGCAGCAGUAGGGAAUCUUCCACAAUGGACGCAAGUCUGAUGGAGCAACGCCGCGUGAGUGAAGAAGGUUUUCGGAUCGUAAAGCUCUGUUGUUGGUGAAGAAGGAUAGAGGUAGUAACUGGCCUUUAUUUGACGGUAAUCAACCAGAAAGUCACGGCUAACUACGUGCCAGCAGCCGCGGUAAUACGUAGGUGGCAAGCGUUGUCCGGAUUUAUUGGGCGUAAAGCGAGCGCAGGCGGAAAAAUAAGUCUAAUGUGAAAGCCCUCGGCUUAACCGAGGAACUGCAUCGGAAACUGUUUUUCUUGAGUGCAGAAGAGGAGAGUGGAACUCCAUGUG